UCUAAAAAACGAUGCUCCCAUCUUUUAUCUCAUACAGUCAUACGCACCCCCGUCUCUCUCUCUCUCUCUCUCUCUCUCUCUCUCUCACACACACACACACACACACACACACACACCGCCGCUCAGUCGCUCUUCACCGGACUUAUUGAAACCUGCCGCCGCCUCUGCUGCUUCUUCCUCCUCUGAGUUCUCCAGUUAUAUUUAUUCCUCCGCCGUUGCUUUCGUCGGUUAGAUUUUUUAUUCCGCUCCGGCCGUCGAUUUCUCCGCCGUUGCUUUCGUCGUUCCGCCGUCGAUUUCUCCGCCGCCGGUCAAAGAUGUAUUUGAAAUAGAUUUCUUGCUCAAAAUGCAAAAAACGUGAGGUCGAGGGUCUUCCGUCAUGCGUUCCUCUUGAUCGAGUCACUCUUAACUCAGAUAAUGUGCGUAAUCAGUGGAUUAACUCAGCCACUCAGAGCCUGGUUCAUUUUGUUCAACAGGAAAUGGAUGCUUAUCGACUCUAUACAGAAAAGAUUGAAAGUCCUCACUAGAGAAGAGGAAUGCAGAACUGCAGUUUCAACUCUCUACCAUGUGCUUGUCACUUCUUGUAAAGCGAUGGCUCCAUUCACACUGUGAAUCUCUGAAAACCUCACUCAAGGAAUUGAUUGUUGUACAUUCGGAUGCUGAGCUUCUUGAAGAUAUUGCUGGGACACUGAAAGAGAUGCAGUGAAGGAAACGUCUGAAAAGGGGAUUCUAGCAUUUGAAGAAUCAGGGCAAGUUACUAUUGUUGGUUACUGCUUAAAGCUAAUUGAUAUCAACGUAUGUGGAAAUUGUGUGUGGAUUUAAACGUCCUGAUCGUUUGACAGAAGAGCAGAUUGGCAGUCAUUGAAUUAUAUGCAGAGGGAGAUGCAGUAACUAAGCACCUGGUCAAAUUUUGUUGUUUCUACGGAUUAUUAGAUUUAGUAUGAAAGGAUUGAUAUUGUAUUAUUGUUAAACUGUAAUGAAUUUGAGUACCAUUUGAAAUUUAUGUUCAAUUCAUUUGUUCA